UUGUCAAAAGCUAUGGAUGAAGGCUUUUAGUCAUUCAUCUUGAAUGACAUACAAACAUUCAGCAAGCAAUUGGGAGAAGGAAUGAAUAAGUGCAGAGAUCCCCUAUCAUUUUCUAUCAAACAAGAAUGAAGAUUAGUCUAGGUUUAAUAGCAAGCAAUUGGGAUCCAUUUUAGAAAAAUCUUAUUAGCCUAAUCACAUUCUCUAAUUCCUCUUAAUUCUAAGGCUAAUUGCGGCUUGGGUUUAAUACAAAUUGCAGGCCCAAAUCCGCUCUUUGGAUCUUUAAAAUCAUCAGUUUUGAUCUUGGGAAGAUCAAGUGAUACAUGGAUUGGAGGAGAAGGAAUGCUCCAUGCCAUAUACUUUAAGAAAGAGAAUCAAGGAAAGUGGACCUUGUCCUACAAGAACAGAUACGUUGAAUCAGAGAUGUACAAGCUUGAGAAAGAGAGGAAGAGGCCCUCUUUUCUUCCUGCAAUUGAAGGGGAUUCUCCAGCAAUCCUAGUUGCUUAUUUACUAAAUCAGGUAAAAGAUACAGUAGAAGUGGAUUUUUUAUCUCCUUCUCAUGAUUCCAAGAAUAUCUUCUCUUCUUGAGGUGAAUGUGUAUCAUGUUUGGAGCUAAAAUGCAAACCACAUUUUUGGAGGCAAGUGGCUAUCUAUGAAAUAUAGAGCACGGCUGAUGGUAUGUUUAUCUUUUCGGUAUGCUUCGCUUAUCCUAUGACUUUAAUUCUAAUUAGGUGCUUGUGGAUUGUGUAUUUUACUAACUGUUUGUUGUUUUGAUCAAUCUGCACUUUUUUCUUGUUUUCUAUUCUCUUCCUUUGUAUAUUUUCUCAUGCUCGUUUUGGGCUUCUGCAUUUUGGAUUGUGUAUUUUUUAUAUUUUUUCUUGUUUUUUAUUCUCUUCCUUUGUAUAUUUUGUAGAUUUUACAAACUGUCGGUGGCUGUUAUUCCUUUGGUGUAUGUCUUUGGAUUCAUGAAGUUAGCGAGUUGACACUAUAAGAAAACUGGA